rnacentral:rRNA from 1 species
CCUACGGGAGGCAGCAGUGGGGAAUAUUGCACAAUGGGGGGAACCCUGAUGCAGCGACGCCGCGUGAGUGAAGAAGUAUUUCGGUAUGUAAAGCUCUAUCAGCAGGGAAGAAAAUGACGGUACCUGACUAAGAAGCCCCGGCUAACUACGUGCCAGCAGCCGCGGUAAGACGUAGGGGGCAAGCGUUAUCCGGAUUUACUGGGUGUAAAGGGAGCGCAGGCGGCUGUGCAAGUCUGGAGUGAAAGGCGGGGGCCCAACCCCCGGACUGCUCUGGAAACUGUAAAGCUGGAGUGCAGGAGAGGUAAGCGGAAUUCCUAGUGUAGCGGUGAAAUGCGUAGAUAUUAGGAAGAACACCAGUGGCGAAGGCGGCUUACUGGACUGCAACUGACGUUGAGGCUCGAAAGCGUGGGGAGCAAACAGGAUUAGAUACCCCAGUAGUC